rfam:Operophtera brumata OBRT01_Sc03952, whole genome shotgun sequence.
CGUUCUAUUGCCGAACUGGUAAAGGCAUCGCCGAUCACAGGCAAAGGUGCGGGUUCGAGUCCCGCUGGAACGA